rnacentral:lncRNA from 1 species
UAAUAUGAAGGAGUUAUUCAUUUUUGAAGUUGAGGAAAAUCACUUGUUCAAUGGUCUUGGUCCAAAAUGAUCUAUAAUGUAUAAUCACAUGCUCAUAAAAGUUGAAUUAGCUAUUUCUCCAAACAUAAAAGUUGAAGUAGACAUCUUGAAUUCGAUUGUGAAACUUGAAAAUCUUUCAUCUCAUAAAAAAUGAGCAAGUUAUGGCGUUGGGAAGUUGACCUCCAAAUUAGGGUUUAGACAAAAUGACCUAUAA